UACGUAGGGUGCGAGCGUUUAAUCGGAAUUACUGGGCGUAAAGCGUGCGCAGGCGGUGAUGUAAGACAGGUGUGAAAUCCCCGGGCUUAACCUGGGAACUGCAUUUGUGACUGCAUCGCUGGAGUGCGGCAGAGGGGGAUGGAAUUCCGCGUGUAGCAGUGAAAUGCGUAGAUAUGCGGAGGAACACCGAUGGCGAAGGCAAUCCCCUGGGCCUGCACUGACGCUCAUGCACGAAAGCGUGGGGAGCAAACAGG
rnacentral:rRNA from 1 species